rnacentral:lncRNA from 1 species
UGUUAAGACCUUUGUGUAUGUCUAAUGUGCGCCUUUUCUUUUUUUCUAGCAGGGCGCGACGCAGAUUGAGGAUUCCAGGUAUGUUUUCUGUUAAGACCUUUGUGUAUGUCUAAUGUUGUCUUUUCUUUUUUUCUAGCAGGUCGCGACGCAGAUUGAGGAAUUCCAGGUAUGUUUUCUGUUAAGACCUUUGUGUAUGUCUAAUGUUGUCUUUUCUUUUUUUUCUAGCAGGGCGCGACGCAGAUUGAGGAUUUUCAGGUAUGUUUUCUGUUAAGA